rnacentral:misc_RNA from 1 species
GAUGAAGAACGCAGCGAAAUGCGAUAAGUAAUGUGAAUUGCAGAAUUCAGUGAAUCAUCGAAUCUUUGAACGCACAUUGCGCCCGCCAGUAUUCUGGCGGGCAUGCCUGUUCGAGCGUCAUUUCAACCAUCAAGCCCCCGGCUUGUGUUGGGGACCUGCGGCUGCCGCAGGCCCUGAAAAGCAGUGGCGGGCUCGCUGUCACACCGAGCGUAGUAGCAUACAUCUCGCUCUGGGCGUGCUGCGGGUUCCGGCCGUUACACCACCUUCAUAACCCAAGGUUGACCUCGGAUCAGGUAGGAAGACCCGCUGAACUUAAGCAUAUCAAUAAGCGGAGGA